rnacentral:rRNA from 1 species
GAUGAACGCGGCGGCGUGCCUAACACAUGCAAGUCGAGCGAGGGUUUGCUCAGUAUUGAGUAUUCUAAGACUAGAAUGUUCAAUUCUGAGCAAAACCAAGCGGCGGACGGGUGAGUAACGCGUGGGUAACCUGCCCUAUACACAUGGAUAACAUACUGAAAAGUUUACUAAUACAUGAUAAUAUAUGUUUGCGGCAUCGCAGAUAUAUCAAAGUGUUAGCGGUAUAGGAUGGACCCGCGUCUGAUUAGCUAGUUGGUGAGAUAACUGCCCACCAAGGCGACGAUCAGUAGCCGACCUGAGAGGGUGAUCGGCCACAUUGGAACUGAGACACGGUCCAAACUCCUACGGGAGGCAGCAGUGGGGAAUAUUGCACAAUGGGCGAAAGCCUGAUGCAGCAACGCCGCGUGAACGAUGAAGGUCUUCGGAUCGUAAAAGUUUCUGUUGCAGGGGAAAG